UAGGAAGCGAGGAGACUCCGACUUUAAAUAUUGUCUCCGAUCCAUCGCACCAGAUGGCUCUGAAAAGCCUGUGUCUGUGAGCUUUUACCUGCAGGCCAGCCCACAGCAGCAAGGGACAGUAACAACUGCCAGCGCGCCCAGCUGCGAUGCUCCCAGACAGUGCUGGACGCCAGGCCACCGGCUCCCUUCCCGAGGGCAGCUGCACACAAGACCGUCAACAGUGAGGAAAGUGACACCGCCCAGGCUGCCCCUGCCAGCCCUACCCAUCCAGAUCUCAGCAUCCCACUCCGACCUCCGAUCAACCUGACCCACAGUGUAUCCACAGUGGACCCUGACAAGCAGAACUGAAGCACAGGGGUGUGUGCCCAUCACUUCAGAACCAAGCCUCCUUAACAAGAGGAAGAUUCGUUGUGUUGGACAAGACUCUGCACGCCCCAUCACUCAUUCGGUUAUUCAACCGGUAAAGCUAUGAGGCGCAUCAUUGCCCCACACAGGGCACACAGUGCCCAUACACGUUGAUGGCUCCAGGCUGGGCAAGUAUGGCUCCAGACCUUUGCUGGUGUCUUGACCUACGGUUCAGCCAACUGUUUUACAGCCAAGCUCCUUCCGGAUGAGCUCGGAAGCUGAGUAACAGCUCUGCACACACCUGGCUUGACGUGAGGAGCCCGGAGCCUGACCCCUGUGUAAACUCGAGGCUCAUGUACACCUCAGAGGGGCCACCUUCACGUUCGAAAUGAGGGAUCCUGGACCAAUCUCACAGUUUUUGCAAAUGCUAAGUCAUGUGUGUGAAAGCCUCCGGCAGACCGUGGGGCUUUACAAAGCAUUAUAUGUAGGUAUUGCUCCCCUUCCCGACUCAAACCAAAAGAAGAAGAACCAAAACCAGUACGUAAAUCUAUUCUAAUCCGGGUCUCAACUAUCGGAGAAUUAACUGUUACUUUUUUAGUUAAAAGCCAGGCUCUGCUUCCGAUUCUGUGUCUCCCUCUCUCUCUGCCCCUUCCCUGCUCAUGCUCUGUCUCUCU